rnacentral:tRNA from 1 species
UCCUCGAUGGUCUAACGGCUAUGAUUUCCGCUUGUCAUCUGUAAAAAGAUCAAGCGCGGGAGACCUGGGUUCGACUCCCAGUCGGGGAG